rnacentral:rRNA from 1 species
AUUGAACGCUGGCGGCAUGCCUUACACAUGCAAGUCGAACGGUAACGCGGGGCAGCCUGGCGACGAGUGGCGAACGGGUGAGUAAGGCAUCGGAACGUGCCUGGUAGUGGGGGAUAACUGCUCGAAAGAGCAGCUAAUACCGCAUACGACCUGAGGGUGAAAGGGGGGGAUCGCAAGACCUCUCGCUAUCAGAGCGGCCGAUGUCGGAUUAGCUGGUUGGUGGGGUAAAGGCCCACCAAGGCGACGAUCCGUAGCUGGUCUGAGAGGACGACCAGCCACACUGGGACUGAGACACGGCCCAGACUCCUACGGGAGGCAGCAGUGGGGAAUUUUGGACAAUGGACGCAAGUCUGAUCCAGCCAUGCCGCGUGCGGGAAGAAGGCCCUCGGGUUGUAAACCGCUUUUGUCAGGGAAGAAAUCUUCUGGGUUAAUACCUCGGGAGGAUAACGGUACCUGAAGAAUAAGCACCGGCUAACUACGUGCCAGCCGCCGCGGUAAUAC